rnacentral:rRNA from 1 species
UUUAUUGGAGAGUUUGAUCCUGGCUCAGGAUGAACGCUGGCGGCGUGCCUAAUACAUGCAAGUCGAGCGAAUGGAUUGAGAGCUUGCUCUCAAGAAGUUAGCGGCGGACGGGUGAGUAACACGUGGGUAACCUGCCCAUAAGACUGGGAUAACUCCGGGAAACCGGGGCUAAUACCGGAUAACAUUUUGAACUGCAUGGUUCGAAAUUGAAAGGCGGCUUUGGCUGUCACUUAUGGAUGGACCCGCGUCGCAUUAGCUAGUUGGUGAGGUAACGGCUCACCAAGGCA